UUCCCGCUCUCGUGGGGAAUGCGAAGAACCUUACCUACUCUUGACAUCCAGAGAACUUAGCAGAGAUGCUUUGGUGCCUUCGGGAACUCUGAGACAGGUGCUGCAUGGCUGUCGUCAGCUCGUGUUGUGAAAUGUUGGGUUAAGUCCCGCAACGAGCGCAACCCUUAUCCUUUGUUGCCAGCGGUCCGGCCGGGAACUCAAAGGAGACUGCCAGUGAUAAACUGGAGGAAGGUGGGGAUGACGUCAAGUCAUCAUGGCCCUUACGAGUAGGGCUACACACGUGCUACAAUGGCAUAUACAAAGAGAAGCGACCUCGCGAGAGCAAGCGGACCUCAUAAAGUAUGUCGUAGUCCGGAUUGGAGUCUGCAACUCGACUCCAUGAAGUCGGAAUCGCUAGUAAUCGUGAUCAGAUGCCACGUUCC
rnacentral:rRNA from 1 species